rnacentral:rRNA from 1 species
AUUGAACGCUGGCGGCAGGCCUAACACAUGCAAGUCGAGCGAGCGGCGGACGGGUGAGUAAUGUAUGGGGACUGCCCGAUAGAGGGGGAUAACUCCUGGAAACGGUAGCUCAUAUCGCAUACUAUCGUAGAACCCAUAUGGGAUUAGAUGGUAGGUGUGGUAAUGGCUCACCUAGGCGACGAUCCCUAGCUGGUCUGAGAGGAUGAUCAGCCACACUGUGACUGAGACACGGCCCAGACUCCUACGGAGGCAGCAGUGGGGAAUUUUGGACAAUGGGGGAAACCCUGAUCCAGCCAUCCCGGGUGUAUGAUGAAGGCCUUCGGGUUGGAAAGUACUUUUGGCAGAGAGGCGGUAUCUGCAGAAUAAGCACCGGCUAACUACGUGCCAGCAGCCGCGGUAAUUC